AACAAUAUCUACAGAUUUUUCAUUAAGUGACUCUGUAAGUCUUUACCUUGUAUAUAUUCAAGUACAGAUUACAUUUCCAAGCAAUUAUUGUAUAUUAAUUCUUUGCCUUUAGUCAGACAGCAAUAAAACGUACCUAUAGAUUACCUGACUCGUCCCAUGUGCAUAUACAACAUCAAAAAUGUAAUUAUGGGUGCAUGUUGGGACUCACAAUUAUGCAUACGAAUUUUAUUCCAUCUUGCUAUUAUUAUUAUGGUGACAGGCAAGAAAGGCAGAAGUAUUAUGGUCAUAGGGAUAAAUCUAGAACAAAUCCAGAGCACAGUGUUACCAUUGAAUCAUCAUUGAUGGCAUGGAUCAGCACAAGACCAAUCUUCAGAUCCCAAAGUCUGUGCAGGGAUUGCUUCCUCUCAGAACACACGUCACUGGAGCGCUAGUACACACCCGGGCCCCUCAUGGAAAGUUAGCUCACGUCUAGAUCUACAUUGAAUAUGCCUCAUGACUGCAACGUUAUGGUUCAUGUGCUCAAAUCCUUGAUCAUCUCCCACCAGUUCUCAACAUCCAACUAGACAAUACAGCAAAAGAAAACAAAAACAAGUUCUUCCUGAUCCUGCAGGGUUUUGCGCAUUGUUGGUAGACUGGAAGAUAUUCACAUAAUUAUUACAUAGCGACUGCACCACUGCCCUGCCCUAAUGACUAAUUAUAACCAUUCAUGCAUACAUUGUCAAUGCAUGGUUGCCCAUGCAUGCAUAUGACACUGCAUGUGUAUACAUUGUGCUACAGCUUUUCUCAAGGAUAUCUAAGCAGCUCACUCUAAAAGGAGCUGAAUCUUUACCAGGUAAUAUGCAUUCUUGAAUAAGUAUAGGUAUUAAUUAUGCAUGGUAGUCGAUUAUAAUUGUAGCUAUAUAAUUAUACUUCCUAUAAAGGUUGGUUUUGAAUUGAUUGUAAUGAUUAUUUCAUGUAUAAGUGUACAGAUCUCCCAAAGCAGAUUACACAGUCAAGCACACCUACCCCAAAGGUUGAGAUACUCAAUACUAUUUCUGCUGUGAGGUCGUGGCUGGAACCUUGUAUUGAUGGACUAAACGGUGACUCUUCCACAUUGCUUCAAAUUCUUUUUAGAAGAUGGGAAAGCUGUGUUGUAUUUUCGGCAUUGGAGCAGUGAUGCUUGGUGCAAUGCUGAUGUAGCAGUGAAACUACUUCCGGUUUUUGGUUUUUUCUACUUCACGCUUGGAAACAUAUUUCUCAAGUACCGGUCACGUCUAUAUAAGUUAUGUAAAUCUGGUUGCAAUUGUCAAGAAGAAGCUUAUUGACAAAUAUACAAUGAUGCCUGUUAUCCUUGAACCUUUCAUUGCAGAUGUUGUAAAAUUAGUAAGGAUAAUAUCCUAGCACCUUUCAUUUCAUUGCAGGUGUUGUAGUACAUUCUUGUCCUCCCAUGCACAGGAAUUAAGAGGGGUACACCUUUCCCAUCUCCCACUGCAGCAGAAAUGUUAUGGCACAAUACCGUUAACGACAGCCUUGUACCAAGAUGACAAAAAUUACUUAAACGUGUGACACGGCGAGUUUAUUCACCAAAGGAAGCUUUAUAGUGAGCAGACUACAAGCUAAGCUACCGACAACUAUUGCAACAUCUUAUCAAAGGUGGAACUAUAGCAACACUAACCCCCGAAGUUACGACAGCUACAUAAUAAUUAUACACAUUGUUGCAAUAACAGGUUGAUCUUGACCUCAUGAUUGUCAUUUUCUGGGAUACAAAAUAAAUGUAGCAAUAAAUGUUUUAAUUAUAGUGUACAUGCCAUGUUAAUGACUUUCUGAUCUGCAUGCGCAGUUGUAAGCACAUUUCUAGACGAUUUUC